rnacentral:misc_RNA from 1 species
GAAAUGCGAUAAGUAAUGUGAAUUGCAGAAUUCAGUGAAUCAUCGAAUCUUUGAACGCACCUUGCGCUCCUUGGUAUUCCGAGGAGCAUGCCUGUUUGAGUGUCAUGGAAUUCUCAACUCUAUUUGCUUUUGUGAAUAGAGCUUGGAUUUGGAGGUUUAUUGCUGGUACUUGUGAUCGGCUCCUCUUGAAUGAAUUAGCUCGAACCUUUGCGGAUCAGCUAUCGGUGUGAUAAUUGUCUACGCCGUUGCAGUGAAGCAUAUCAAUGGGCUCGGCUUCCAAUCGUCCUUUACUGGACAAUGACUUUGACCUUUGACCUCAAAUCAGGUAGGAUUACCCGCUGAACUUAAGC